AAAAAAAAACUUGAACAAA
rnacentral:sRNA from 1 species